AGCCAGUCGACAAGUCCCAAAUAGAACGAAACGCGCUUCCUGGAU
rnacentral:hammerhead_ribozyme from 1 species